GACGAACGCUGGCGGCGUGCCUAAUACAUGCAAGUCGAGCGGACUUUCAAGAAGCUUGCUUUUUGAAAGUUAGCGGCGGACGGGUGAGUAACACGUGGGCAACCUGCCUGCAAGACGGGGAUAACUCCGGGAAACCGGGGCUAAUACCGGAUAAUAUCUUCCUUCGCAUGAAGGAAGGUUGAAGGCGGCGCAAGCUGCCGCUUGCAGAUGGGCCCGCGGCGCAUUAGCUAGUUGGUGAGGUAACGGCUCACCAAGGCGACGAUGCGUAGCCGACCUGAGAGGGUGAUCGGCCACACUGGGACUGAGACACGGCCCAGACUCCUACGGGAGGCAGCAGUAGGGAAUCUUCCGCAAUGGACGAAAGUCUGACGGAGCAACGCCGCGUGAGCGAAGAAGGUCUUCGGAUCGUAAAGCUCUGUUGUCAGGGAAGAACAAGUACCGUUCGAACAGGGCGGUACCUUGACGGUACCUGACCAGAAAGCCACGGCUAACUACGUG
rnacentral:rRNA from 1 species